rnacentral:lncRNA from 1 species
GUCCGUACAAGGACCAUACUUGACUUACGAGGACUCGUUCCUCGCCAUCACUGGUGGAGCUGGAAUCUUUGAAGGUGCGUACGGACAGGUUAAGCUUCAACAGCUUGUGUAUCCGACAAAACUGUUCUACACUUUUUACCUUAAAGGGUUGGCUAAUGAUUUGCCGUUAGAGCUUACCGGAACGCCGGUACCACCGUCUAAGGACGUGGAGCCGGCGCCGGAAGCUAAGGCGCUUGAGCCUAGCGGAGUUAUAAGUAACUAUACCAACUAAUGCAUAUAAUUUGUCCUAUAUGUUUCUUGUGUCGUUGUGUGAUGAUAGAAUCUUUGGGGAAUAAUAUCUCUAGUAUUUUUUUUUUGCCGUCUGAAAUAAAAUAUCAAGAAAAUUUGUGAACAGAUUAUUUUUAGAAGAAUGUGAUGAAAAGUCUUUGCAAUCCCUUCUCAAUCUCAAUUAUUUUGAAUUUAAAGUUGUUUAGUUAGAAAAAAUGAUAUUAUGUAUUGCAUUAAAAAUUCAAAUAAAAUAACUUAUAAAUAUUUAAACUAUAGUAUAUCUUAAAUGGCAGCUCAACCGUCUCCUAUGGAAUAUCAUUUUUAAUCAUAUCUUAACAAAUCCAAGAAACAACGAAACGAAAAAAUUGUAUCAUUUUGAUCGAGAGAAGAUUUUCGGGUGUCAAAAAAAUAAAAAGAUCUAGAUGUCAUGCCCCGAUAAAUGUAAAGGAGUACAAUUAAUACUGCUACGAAAAAUACAUGCAAUUAAAAAGCAGUUUUAAGGUAAAGUUGACUAUAAGAAAUUGGUUGAUUUUUGAUAUAUAAGUGGUUGACUUACAAUCUCCUAUAAUGUAAAAUGUAACAUGUAAGUGAAUGUUCAUCAAAUUCUAGAGAUGCUUUCUUUGUUGUAUUUUUUAUUUUGUUUGGUAGUUCUUUUAUUUGUAUUUUUUUUUUAUUUUCCUGUUUUCCUUGUUUUUUCAUUAAUCCCUGUUACAAAUUUAAAAAUGAUAUAUAAAUACUUUAACAUUUUACCAAAAAUAAAAAAAAAAAUAAAAAAAAUUCUAGUGAUGCUAUUUGAUGACAAGGAGGAGAAUAUGGUUGACAUUGAUGGCGAAGUUAAUGAUCUACAUGUCACACUCCUCAUUUUACAAAUAGUUGACAGUGGUUGUGAGUUUUCCAUCAAAUACCAAUUAGGAGUUGCUGAUAAAAACUAGAAGAAGACCAUAAUAGUAAAGUUGACAAUGAUAAUUAUUUACGGCGAUAGAUGAUACUAAGAAGAGAUUGGCGGAGAAAUGGAUGGAAGGAAAAUAAGUUGAGAAAAAAAAAAAAAAAACCAAUUUACACUAAAAUGUUAGCGGAAUUGACGAGUUUUGUUGGAUUUUAUUUCUGGACCGUCGCUCCUUUACCCCAUCUUUUGGGCCGGACCUGUUCGAAAAGUAACAGUCAUACGGUCAUACUAUUUUGUAGUGCAAUUUAAAAUACUUUGUGUGUACACGAUAAUUUGACACAACCGACCAUGUUAUAUAUCGGGAAAAAUGUCAUUUAAAUCACCGGUUUACCAUUUUCGUUAGUUUAAAUCAUGAACUCUAUACCUCGUGAUUUAAAUCCUUAAUUUUAUGUUGAUUUUCAUUUUAAUCAUAGAUUCUCAUUGACAAAACCAAUUGAGGCAUGCAUAUCGCUAACUGGCUAAACGAAUCAAUAAGACGAUGUCAUCGCAUAACUGGUACUUCGAAGCCAUCACAUAAUUUUUCUUCUACACCAACAUGGUUUUCAUCUUACUCUUCGUCAGAUUGUUCUGUUUAGCAAGUUAACGAUAUGCCUCAAUUGACUUAGUUAAUGAGAAUUCGUGAUUAAAUUGAAAAUCAACAUAAAAUUAAGGAUUUAAAUCAUCAGGUCCACAUAACAUUAAGGAUUUAAAUUACCAGAUUCAGAAUUUAUGCUUUAAACCAACGAAAAUGAGAAAAUGAUUUAAAUGACAUAUUUUCCGUUAUAUAUCUCACUAAAACAAUCUUAUCAACAAGAGUUUAAAAACAUGGGCCACAUGGCUACGUUUAUAUCUUUUGACUAUUUUAGUAUCUUCCCAGUACUUUGAGAUCUAUGACUCCUUAAUAAUGAAUGUUACACCGUUUUAAGUCAAUAAAUAAGAAAUACAUAAAAUUCUCUAGCUAACGCUUUUAGACCAUCGAAACCGAGUGGAAACUACACAAAGCAUCUUUUGACAUAUACGCACGUGUAACUUCAUCAUCGUCCAAUAUAAAAAGACUCAUCACUCAACUCAACAACCAUAAAACCAAAUCUCAAUCUCUUCUUUAAUAUCAAAGUUUCAAAAGUCUUCUUGAUCAAUGGCUUCUUCUUCUGCUGCUAUGUCUCUCGAAUCCAUCUCUAUGACAACUCUCAACAAUCUCUCCCGUAAUCAUCAAUCUCAUAGAAGCUCUCUUCUUGGUUUCUCAAGAUCUUUCCAAAACCUUGGGAUCUCAUCUAACGGUCCAGAUUUCUUCUCCCGAUCAAGAUCUACUACUUCCAAGAACCUCAACGUUACUCGAGCUUUCUUCUGGAAUUGGGGCAAGAAGACUGAAAACUCCAGACCAAGUAAGUUUAUAGAUCCCUUUGUCUUUUAGUACACUAUGACUAAGUCAACGCCUGUUAAUCAGAUAUUUUUCGUAGAUUUUAGACUAAUCAAGAUCAAAUUUUCAUGUUAAAGACUAAUCUUUUUUAUUAGCUCAAAAAAAAAAAAAAAUUGUGAUCUUAGAUCUUUAAAUCAUAAAAUUGAUUUAUCUAAAGAUAAUCUCAGAUCUUUAAAAACAAAGUUUCUAAUUCAAAAAUUGUCAUUUAUCUUCUUUUGAAAAUUCAUAUAUAGUUUUCAUUUUUAUGAAAUAUUUACAUUCUUAGCAAAAAAAAAAAAAAAAAAAAAUUCAUAUAUUCAAGAAACAGAGGUCAAAUUUCUUUGUAAAAAGAGCUCCCAAAAAAAACAACUUAAAAUUGACAUUAAUUCUUCUGAAAAUACAUAAAUUUAAGAAACCAAGAUCAAAUUUCUCUGUAAAAAGAGCUCAAAAAAAAAAAAACCAACUCAAAAGUUGACAUUAAUUCUUAUAAAAAUACAUAAAUAUAGGAAACCAAGAUCAAAUUUCUUGUAAAAACUGACGUAUAAGUUAAAAAUUGUAUACCAAAUUCAUAAAUUCGAGUUUUAUUCAGGUAAGAUCCAAGAACUAAACGUGUACGAGCUAAACGAAGGAGAUAGAAACAGUCCAGCAGUUCUUAAACUCGGCAAAAAACCAACAGAGCUCUGUCUCGGCGAUCUUGUACCAUUCACCAACAAACUCUACACCGGCGAUCUCAAGAAACGCGUCGGAAUCACCGCCGGUCUCUGCGUCUUGAUCCAACACGUUCCGGAGAAGAACGGUGACAGAUUCGAAGCUAACUACAGCUUCUACUUCGGAGACUAUGGUCACUUGUCUGUACAAGGACAGUACUUGACUUACGAAGACACGUUUCUCGCUAUCACUGGCGGCUCAGGAAUCUUUGAAGGUGCGUACGGACAGGUUAAGCUUCGUCAGCUUGUGUAUCCGACAAAACUGUUCUACACUUUUUACCUUAAAGGGUUGGCUAAUGAUUUGCCGCUGGAGCUAACUGGAACGGCGGUUACGCCGUCGAAGGAUGUGAAACCGGCCCCGGAAGCUAAGGCAACGGAGCCUAGCG